rnacentral:RNase_P_RNA from 1 species
GGAGUCGACCAGACAACCGCCCGACCGCUCGAGCAGUCAUUUUAGGCCGAGCGACCGGGAGGAAAGUCCGGGCUCCAUUGGGCAGGGUGCCAGGUAACGCCUGGGGGGCGCGAGCCCACGGCCAGUGCCACAGAAAACAAACCGCCUGAUCACCUACCCCUGACACGCUGAGCAUUGCUUUCGGUGCGCCAGUGUUGGUGCCAGUGUGCCAAGGGUAGGUGGCCAGGUAAGGGUGAAAAGGUGCGGUAAGAGCGCACCGCGCCGGUGGUAACACCGGUGGCAGGGUAAACCCCACCCGGAGCAAGGCCAAAUAGGGGAACAAAGGUGUGGCCCGCACUGUUCCCGGGUAGGCUGCUUGAGGCGCGCGGCGACGUGCGCCCUAGAUGAAUGGUUGUCCACGACAGAACCCGGCUUAUCGGUCGACUCCCGCA